rnacentral:rRNA from 1 species
AUUGAACGCUGGCGGCAGGCCUAACACAUGCAAGUCGAACGAGUGGCGGACGGGUGAGUAAUGUCUGGGAAACUGCCUUAUGGAGGGGGAUAACUACUGGAAACGGUAGCUAAUACCGCAUACCAUCAGCUGUGCCCAGAUGGGAUUAGCUGGUGGGUGGGGUAACGGCGCACCAAGGCGACGAUACCUAGCUGGUCUGAGAGGAUGACCAGAAACACUGGAACGGAGACACGGUCCAGACUACUACGUGAGGAAGCAGUGGGGAAUAUGGAACAAUGGGCGCAAGCCUGAGGCAGCAAUGCGGCGUGUAUGAAGAAGGCCUUCGGGUUGUAAAGGACUUGCAGCGGGGAGGCGUUACCCGCAGAAGAAGCACCGGCUAACUCCGUGCCAGCCGCCGCGGUAAUAC